GUCACCACCAGCACGGUCCAGCGGUGGCGGAGAAAAUAGAGCAAACAACAAAACAACCAAAAGAGAGAAAAUGAGCAUGGCUGAAGGCGGAGGAGAAGCGGAGACUAUAGAUGAAGAAAUUGUUGCUAACGGGGAGGUGCCUCUGUAAUAUGGAAGUGGUUUUUCGAUAGAGCAGAUGUAAUCCAGACGUGUGGAGUAGCCGAGUGACUCAACCAUAUAUUAGCCUCACGGUCCAGGCAAGUUUUAUUCCGGAGGAACACAGGGGUGAAAACAUCGCAAGUGAGUUGAAGGAGUUUCUCCAGGAAUGGGACUUAGGUUAGAAGAAGCAAGUGUGUGUAACUACUGACAGUGGAUCUAAAGUUGUGAAAGCAGCUGCCCUGAACAACUGGAAUAGACCUGCUUGCUUUGGACACUCUCUACACCACGGGUCACCAACGUGGUGCCCGCGGGCACCAGGUAGCCCCCCACGACCACAUGAGGUGCCCGCAAGCCUGCUUUCUAUUCAGCUUUUCAGGUUGCUGUGACUUCAUUUCAUGGACUCCGCACCACAAUGAAAAGGACAGCAUUCUCCAGCUGGCGCCAAGCAAAUACACAGAGUUGAGGAGAUAAGCUGUCUCAAGGCAUCGAGUUCAAAAGAGCUCCAGCUGAACAAGUUGGGUUUCCUUGCCUUGAGCUGCUGGUCCAGUAAGCCACAAACAGCAUCUCUCAUGGCACUGGCAUUCUGUUUCUUGAUCUCCAUGUGUGUGCCUCUCUCACAGAACCACAUGCAAGCUUUUCCCUGUAUUCUCUUUGGAAAGGGGAAUGGAGGAGGUGUGGAUGCAGGAUGUGUGUGAGAAGGUUUCAAGGGAUAAGCCGGCUCGGUGAUACACCACUCUCUCUUGACCUUUUAUGACGAAUUAUAUCCAAUUAACAGGCUUUUGUCCUGUGAUGAAGAUGCUGCUGGCACUCCUCAACAAUCCCAUUACAGAUCAUAAAGGGAGCUGGGGAUGUGGCUUGAGAGCACUCACUUUGUGUGUAUGGCAGUUGAGGCACAUUUGGUAAUGGCUUUCUUAUUUCUUUCUUCCUUUUUGAAUGUUGGGGCUUUCAUCCACAAUCUGCUCCAACUGAUGCUUUGUGGUAUAGAAAGUAUUACAGGGCUUUGCUCCAUUUAAGAAUUAAAAUAUGAGUUUGGCAAAUGAUGUGUGAAACCGAAGGACAGACUGACAACAAAGACACACACAGUGGUUGUGCAUCAUCUCGUAAUAAUGACCACGGGGGUGCCACACUCCUGCUGCUAUGCUUCCUGUAUUUAUAUCUGUUUAAAUGCUCCUUUCUUCUCAUUUUUUAGUGCAGAUCAUCUUUACGCUAAAUCAUAUUUGCACCAAAUAUAUUACUAUAAGUCCAGUACAAAUCCAUGACUGCAGCAUAUGUUUCUGAUGGAUAGACUGUACAUGCAGCGUGUUUGCAAUGACGACAGUCAAUUUAGAAAACAUGUUUUCUGUUUAAUAGGGUCGAAUGCCAUCUCCGGGUCGGGGAUGAGAUCCUGCCCCAAGUGGAGGAGUUUAGGUCUUGUUCACGAGUGAGGGAAGGAUGGAAGGAUGGCGAAUUGGUGCGGCGUCUACAGUGAUGCGGACUCUACAUCGGUCUGUUGUGGUGAAGAGAGAGCGAAGCCGAAAGGCAAAGCUCUCAAUUUACCGGUCGAUCUACAUUCCUACCCUCACCUAUGGUCAUGAGCUUUGGGUAGUGACUGAAAGGACAAGAUUGCGGGUACAAGCGACCGAAAUUAGUUUUCUCCGUAGGGUGUCUGGGCUCUCCCAUAGAGAUAAGGGGAGAAGCACUGUCAUCCGGGAGAGACUCGGAGUAGAACCGCUACUCUUCCGCAUUGAGAGGAGCCAGAUGAGGUGGCUUGGGCAUCUGGUCAGGAUGCCUCCCGGACGCCUCCCUGGGGAGGUGUUCAGGGCAAAUCGGUAGAAGGCCUCGGGGAAGACCCAGGACACAUUGGAGAGACUAUGUCUCCCAACUGGCCUGGGAACGCCUCGGGAUUCGCUGUGAAGAACUGGACGAAGUGGCCGGCGUGGCCCCCGCGACCCGAUCUCGGAUAAGCGGUAGAAGAUGGAUGGAUGGAUGUGUUCUGCUUAAUGCAUUUGUAAAAAAUAAAAAGCUCGUAUUGGUAGAUUUUUCUUGAGCAUUCACAAGUCACUGUUUCCAAUACUAUUUCUCUCAAAUAUUGUCCACAAAUGUCUAAAUCUGUCUUAGUGAUCAUUCAUAGCUCACAAUUCAUCCACCUCACAGGAUAUCGAGAUGCUGAUUAUUGCACAGAUGCG